rnacentral:rRNA from 1 species
AUGACUCGCUAUUCGAAUCUUCGAUGUGUCAUUGAAGAUAACGUAAAGGAAAAUAAUGAUAUUACUUUACUAUUAGUGUCGUCCAAAUACUCGUGCCAGAAGACUCGGUAAGGCGAGAGACGCAAACGUUAUUCGUCUUGAUCAGGCGUAAAGGGUGUGUAGGCUGCUUUAAGCAUAUCAUAUUAAGUUUUACCUUCAUAUUUUUAAAAAAGUUGACCAGUUUUUAUUUUACUAUAUUUAGUUUUUUCUAAAUUUAGAAGAAGUUAAAAGCUCUGUAAACUUUAGAUAAAAUUAUGUUGUUAAUAUAUAUCAAUUAAAGCUAGAAUCUAAAAGAGGUUAAAACAAUACUUAAGGUAGGAGUACUAACCGUAAAUAUUAAGUAGAGUGUUAAUGGCGAAGGCAUUUAUCCACUAAAGAUUGACGCUGAGAAACGAAAGUGAGGGCAGAAAAAAGGAUUAGAGACCCUUGUAUUCCUCACUGUCAACGAUGAAUGGUAGUUACUAGUUAGGAAUUAACUAGAGGCAAUGUUAACACGUAAACCAUUCCGCCUUGUGAGUACAACUGCAAAGUUGAAAACAAAAAAAUUAGUCGGUUUCGGAGCAAACGAAGUGAAGCAUGUUAUUUACUAA